rnacentral:rRNA from 1 species
CCUACGGGAGGCAGCAAUGGGGAAUAUUGCACAAUGGGGGAAACCCUGAUGCAGCGACGCCGCGUGAGUGAAGAAGUAAUUCGGUAUGUAAAGCUCUAUCAGCAGGGAAGAAAAUGACGGUACCUGAGUAAGAAGCCCCGGCUAACUACGUGCCAGCAGCCGCGGUAAUACGUAGGGGGCAAGCGUUAGCCGGAUUUACUGGGUGUAAAGGGAGCGUAGACGGCAGUGCAGGUCUGGAGUGAAAGGCGGGGGCUCAACCCCCGGACUGCUCUGGAAACUGUACGGCUGGAGUGCAGGAGAGGUAAGUGGAAUUCGUAGUGUAGCGGUGAAAUGCGUAGAUAUUAGGAGGAACACCAGUGGCGAAGGCGGCUUACUGGACUGUAACUGACGUUGAGGCUCGAAAGCGUGGGGAGCAAACAGGAUUAGAUACCCCGGUAGUC